rnacentral:rRNA from 1 species
CCUACGGGAGGCAGCAGUGGGGGAUAUUGCACAAUGGGGGAAACCCUGAUGCAGCGACGCCGCGUGGGUGAAGAAGCGCCUCGGCGCGUAAAGCCCUGUCAGCAGGGAAGAAGAUGACGGUACCUGAACAAGAAGCCCCGGCUAACUACGUGCCAGCAGCCGCGGUAAUACGUAGGGGGCAAGCGUUAUCCGGAUUUACUGGGUGUAAAGGGGGCGCAGACGGCGAUGCAAGGCAGGAGUGAAAGCCCGGGGCCCAACCCCGGGAAUGCUCUUGGAACUGGAUGGCUGGAGUGCAGGAGGGGAAGGCGGAAUUCCUGGUGUAGGGGUGAAAUGCGUAGAUAUCAGGAGGAACACCGGUGGCGAAGGCGGCCAGCUGGAAUGUAACUGACGUUGAGGAGCGAAAGCGUGGGGAGCAAACAGGAUUAGAUACCCGAGUAGUC